rnacentral:rRNA from 1 species
AGAGUUUGAUCCUGGCUCAGAUUGAACGCUGGCGGCAGGCCUAACACAUGCAAGUCGAACGGUAGCACAGAGGAGCUUGCUCCUUGGGUGACGAGUGGCGGACGGGUGAGUAAUGUCUGGGAAACUGCCCGAUGGAGGGGGAUAACUACUGGAAACGGUAGCUAAUACCGCAUGACGUCGCAAGACCAAAGAGGGGGACCUUCGGGCCUCUUGCCAUCAGAUGUGCCCAGAUGGGAUUAGCUAGUAGGUGAGGUAACGGCUCACCUAGGCGACGAUCCCUAGCUGGUCUGAGAGGAUGACCAGCCACACUGGAACUGAGACACGGCCCAGACUCCUACGGGAGGCAGCAGUAGGGAAUCUUCGGCAAUGGACGAAAGUCUGACCGAGCAACGCCGCGUGAGUGAAGAAGGCCUUCGGGUUGUAAAGUACUUUCAGCGAGGAGGAAGGCGUUGUGGUUAAUAACCGCAACGAUUGACGUUACUCGCAGAAGAAGCACCGGCUAACUCCGUGCCAGCCGCCGCGGUAAUUC